CAAAUUAGAGCUUGGAUAGAAAAGCAUUUUAUUUACAUUAAGAAAUUGUUGGGCAGAUCAAUAUAAUUUGA
rnacentral:tRNA from 1 species